CUCUUUGCUGCAGCCCCGCGCGGCGCCGGGAGCCUCGGCCUCCGGUCCCUAAAACACGCCCGCCGCCUCUCCUGGCAAGUGCGGGCCUCCUGGUAAGCGUCGUCCCGAUUUUCGGCGGCGGAGUGAAACCUGAAGGUCACUUUACGACGGAGUCAGCUCUUCUGGCACAGUUAUGUGAAGUGAGGGUUGCAAACCUCUGGGAUAGAGCUGUACAAAGAACAUGGAAGAUGUACUUUUGACUGUUCCGCAACAUCUCGGCCCCUUCAUUCCCAUAUACUCAGGCAUGUACCCUUUCUCCAUCCAACUUAGAAGAUAUUGCCUUAUCCCCAACUCAGAGGUGGCAUCCUGAUACACAACUAACCCAAACUUGGAAAUCAAGGAAAACAGCCCAGAAAAGGGGAAAUCUGUGAAGAGCCUUCAUCAGGGCAGGCAGUCCAGAAGCAGGAGAAGCAAAGGGAAGAGCCACCAUACAGUUCUCUGUUUUGGUCCUGCACGUUCUUCACUUGCCUCCCACCCUGUAGGAUGGGGAAACUGAGAUUUCCAUCAGCCCUAUGACUGGGUGCUGGAGAUUUUAUCACAUUUGACUCCCAGCUGUUGUACUAAAGUUUCCGAUGGGGGAAAUGGGUUUAAAAGAAAGAUCUCCCAACAAAUGACAACUCCGGGAUUUCGCUAGAAGAGGCACACCCACGUGUUUCUGAAAAGUCUGCAGGUGUGUACUCAGCCACCCUCCCAGGCCCCCGCUCUUCCUGCCCACGGGUCCUGCCCCUGUGCUUUCAGAAAAACCACCAUCUUGCACCAAAGACGUCUCAAGAAUUCCUUCUUGGUCAUCAGCUCCGGACUCACCCCACCAAACCUCACCCAUUGUCCAAAACUUCAUCACUUUGAGGACCCAGGACCCGUGUGAGGAUUCCUUGGGAAUGGGAUUGGAGCAGGCCUCUGGCCUGAGGGCUGAGGCGGCUGCUGGCGCUUCAGUUCCCCGCACACUCUCCCAAAAAUGCACUGGACCUUGGCGACAGGCUGAUUAUUGCACCUGGACGCGCGGAGUACACAGUGCCCUAGAUUCACUGGCAGAGCUCAGGAUAUACACACCCCCAGGAGUACUCUGCAGUGCGCUAGUGGGUGCUCAAAGCCCCUGACCAGUUUGGGUGGACUAAAAAAAAAAAAAUCUGAUCUCUGUGAGCGUAACUUUGAACAGAACUUCCGAUUGUUGUCUCUCUUGCAAGGAGGGAUGUUGAAGGUACAGACCUACAAGGACUUAAGGACACUGCCCAGCAAAAUCACAUUUUGAUUGAAGGGAUGAGACUGUGCUAGUUUCUCAGAAACAGAACUCUGACUAAAAGAUAAAAUGUCAAAGUUGUAUUUCCCAUGUGUCCUUUCUCAGGAAGCUACUUGAGGAUGCGCUCCACCGAAACAGAGGUAUAAACCAAGAAAUAGGAAGGCACUGGGUCCAGGAAACAGAGUGCUCAACAUGGAAGGGACACAGCAGAGCUAGGUGUAACCGUUCAGUUCGGAGCAGCAGCAGGCUGAAGGAAUCCGGAAAGGCCAUCCCAGGAGAUUUCUUUAAAUAGAGAAAAGUGGAGCUAACUGUGACCUGUUAUGAUUACCUAUUUGAAAAACAGUGUACAAAGUGGCUUUAUGCUUUGGUGGGGAAAUUUUGGAAAAGAGAAAGGUGCAGAGGAAAGAAACUAGAACAGGGGAUGACUAUCAGCUCAAGGAAAAUAAACAGCUACAGAAAUGAGCAAUAAUUUAUAUAGUUAAUGUUCAAUGUUAGUUUAGCCAAAAAUUAUGAUAGGACCAUAUUUAAAGGAUGAAGGGCAGGAAAAUGGGGUAGAAUGGGAUGGUGUAAGAAAGGUAAAUCCUGGGGUGCCUGGGUGGCUCAGUCAGUUAAGUGUCUGCCUUGGGCUCAGGUUGUGAUCCCAGGGUCCUGGGAUCGAGCCCUGCACUGGGCUCUCUGCUCAGGGCGGGGAGUCUGCUUCUCCCUCCCCUCGGCACCUCCCCUCCGCUUGUAUGCACCUCCUCUCUCUCUAAUAAAUAAAAUUUUUUAAAAAAUGUAUUAAACCAAGCAUAAUAGAUACACAAGGUAAAACCCCCAGGCAAACAUGCUUAACAGUUGUACAUUUUUCCAGAUAUUUUUUACAUGUUAUUUUGACAUGAAUGUGAGUACACGCUUCUCUGUCUUGCUCUUUUUCUUUCACUUUAACAAUAUAUCUUGGUUCUCUCAUACCUGCAAAGAGGGAUCUCAUUCUUUUUUCUUUUUUUUUAAAUUAUGUAUUCAUGAGAGACACAGAGAGGCAGAGACACAGGCAGAGGGAGAAGCAGGCUCCAUGCAGGGAGCCCGAAGUGGGACUUGAUCCUUGGGACUCCAGGAUCACGCCCUGGGUGAAGGCAGGUGCCAAACCGCUGAGCCACCCAGGGAUCCCACCGUUCUUUUUUCAAUUCUGCUAUAUGGACGUGUAAGAAUUAUUGACUUGUCCUCUACUGAAAAGCAUUAAAGGGGUUUGCAGUGUUUUAUGGUUCCAAAGGAGCAACAGACUUUCUUUUACAAGCAUCUCUACAUACAUAUUUGAGAACAGGAAAAAUAAAAGUAUGUAUACAUUCAAAAGUUAUGACUUUUAUGUUCCAAAGAGAUUGUAUUAUCAACUGCACUUUUGCUAGUUUACAAGAGUCCCUACCCUCAUAUCAUUAAAAGAAAUUUUAAAAAUAAAUCUGGUAUAAUUAAAUUUCAUGACCGGUGAAAUAUGAGACUUCUUGUUUUAAUUUUCAUUUUUGAAGAUUUUUAUUUGAGAGAGACCACAUGCACAAGAGAGCACAAGGUCAGGGAGGGGCAGAGUGCAACGCCCUUCCAACUGGAUCCCGGGACCCC